GCAGGGGAUCGCAAGACCUUGCGCUGAUUGAGCGGCCGAUAUCAGAUUAGCUUGUUGGUGAGGUAAAAGCUCACCAAGGCGACGAUCUGUAGCGGGUCUGAGAGGAUGAUCCGCCACACUGGAACUGAGACACGGUCCAGACUCCUACGGGAGGCAGCAGUGGGGAAUUUUGGACAAUGGGGGCAACCCUGAUCCAGCCAUGCCGCGUGAGUGAAGAAGGCCUUCGGGUUGUAAAGCUCUUUCAGCCGGGAAGAAAACGCAUGGGUUAAUACCCUGUGUGGAUGACGGUACCGGAAUAAGAAGCACCGGCUAACUACGUGCCAGCAGCCGCGGUAAUACGUAGGGUGCGAGCGUUAAUCGGAAUUACUGGGCGUAAAGCGUGCGCAGGCGGUUUUGUAAGACAGGCGUGAAAUCCCCGGGCUUAACCUGGGAACUGCGUUUGUGACUGCAAGGCUAGAGUACGGCAGAGGGGGGUGGAAUUCCACGUGUAGCGGUGAAAUGCGUAGAGAUGUGGAGGAACACCAAUGGCGAAGGCAGCCCCCUGGGUCGAUACUGACGCUCAUGCACGAAAGCGUGGGUAGCAAACAGGAUUAGAUACCCUGGUAGUCCACGCCCUAAACGAUGUCAACUAGGUGUUGGGAGGGUAAAACCUUUUAGUACCGGAGCUAACGCGUGAAGUUGACCGCCUGGGGAGUACGGCCGCAAGGUUAAAACUCAAAGGAAUUGACGGGGACCCGCACAAGCGGUGGAUGAUGUGGAUUAAUUCGAUGCAACGCGAAAAACCUUACCUACCCUUGACAUGCCAAGAACUUUCCAGAGAUGGAUUGGUGCCCGAAAGGGAACUUGGACACAGGUGCUGCAUGGCUGUCGUCAGCUCGUGUCGUGAGAUGUUGGGUUAAGUCCCGCAACGAGCGCAACCCUUGUCGUUAAUUGCCAUCAUUUAGUUGGGCACUUUAACGAGACUGCCGGUGACAAACCGGAGGAAGGUGGGGAUGACGUCAAGUCCUCAUGGCCCUUAUGGGUAGGGCUUCACACGUCAUACAAUGGUCGGUACAAAGGGUCGCCAAGCCGCGAGGUGGAGCCAAUCCCAGAAAGCCGAUCGUAGUCCGGAUCGCAGUCUGCAACUCGACUGCGUGAAGUCGGAAUCGCUAGUAAUCGUGGAUCAGAAUGUCACGGUGAAUACGUUCCCGGGUCUUGUACACACCGCCCGUCACACCAUGGGAGCGGGUUCCGCCAGAAGUAGGUAGCCUAACCGCAAGGAGGGCGCUUACCACGGCGGGGUUCGUGACUGGGGUGAAGUCGUAACAAGGUA
rnacentral:rRNA from 1 species